rnacentral:rRNA from 1 species
CCUACGGGUGGCAGCAGUGGGGAAUAUUGCACAAUGGGGGAAACCCUGAUGCAGCGACGCCGCGUGAGUGAAGAAGCACUUCGGUAUGUAAAGCUCUAUCAGCAGGGAAGAAAAUGACGGUACCUGAUGAAGAAGCCCCGGCUAACUACGUGCCAGCAGCCGCGGUAAUACGUAGGGGGCAAGCGUUAUCCGGAUUUACUGGGUGUAAAGGGAGCGUAGACGGCAGCGCAAGACUGGAGUGAAAUGCCGGGGCCUAACCCCGGAACUGCUUUGGAAACUGUGCGGCUAGAGUGCAGGAGAGGUAAGUGGAAUUCCUGGUGUAGCGGUGAAAUGCGUAGAUAUUAGGAGGAACACCAGUGGCGAAGGCGGCUUACUGGACUGUAACUGACGUUGAGGCUCGAAAGCGUGGGGAGCAAACAGGAUUAGAUACCCCAGUAGUC